GGCUAUGUAGCUCAGUUGGUUAGAGCGGCGCAUUCAUAAUGCGUAGGUCGCUGGUUCAAGUCCCGCCAUAGCCACCA
rnacentral:tRNA from 1 species